GAGCAAAUCUCAAAAACCGGUCCCAGUUCGGAUUGUAGGCUGCAACUCGCCUACAUGAAGUCGGAGUUGCUAGUAAUCGCGGAUCAGAAUGCCGCGGUGAAUGCGUUCCCGGGUCUUGUACACACCGCCCGUCACACCAUGGAAGUUGGGGCGCCCGAAGUUGCCUAAGAAAUAAGGUACCUAAGGCGAAACCAAUGACUGGGGUGAAGUCGUAACAAGGUAGC
rnacentral:rRNA from 1 species